AUUUAAAUAGUUUAUUUAAAAUAUUGACUUGUGGCGUCAAUGAUAUGAAUUUGUUCAUUUUAGAUC
rnacentral:tRNA from 1 species